CCCGGGGAAGGCUGACCCCUUCUCGUGCCCGCCAAAGGCCUCAAUAAACCCUGUGAUCAGUGUCGUCCGAGUAAAAACAAUCGUUAAAACUUUCAACAACGGAUCUCUUGGUUCCGGCGUCGAUGAAGAACGCAGCGAAAUGCGAAAAGUAAUGUGAAUUGCAGAAUUCCGCGAAUCAUCGAAUCUUUGAACGCACAUUGCGCCCUUUGGUAUUCCGAAGGGCAUGCCUGUUCGAGCGUCAUUGCACCCCUCAAGCACUGCUUGGUAUUGGGCCUCGCCCCCGCGGCGGGCCCGGAUUCCAGUGGCGGUCCAGCGAGACUUCAAGCGUAGCAAGAUUAUCACAUCCCGCUUAGCAAGCCUUCCCGCUGCGUGCCGGCCAGACAACCCUAUACAAUCUCAAUGAUUGACCUC
rnacentral:sRNA from 1 species